CUAGAUAUCCUGAGAGAUGGUGGACGGAUUAGGUACAUAGGAAACACUAUCGUGAACAUUGCCUCAUACCGGAUGGGGUAUCGAGAAAUAGUAUUUUUUGUGCUCAUACCAGACCGGGUGUGGGGACGGCCCGAUUCACCCUCAUACCAGACGGGGUAUUGAGAGAUGAUAUUUUUAGUGCUCAUACUGAACAGGGUAUGAGAACGGUCGGUUUGUUGACAAUAUUGAAUAUGGGUUCACGCGUAAUGGGACAUUCCUAUGGGCCCCUAGGGAUAUCAAUAGGCAAAUAAAAAUGAAAAGUUAUUGUUCUUCCUCAAUUGAAUAUAAGGUUGGAAUAUUAUUUGAAUUAUUGUCUCUAUAGGUCGAUUUUGAAAAUCUCUCAACGAU
rnacentral:lncRNA from 1 species